GCAACACUGAGAUUCAAGGAGGAGGAAGCGGACAGCCAGUGCCACCUUUUGGACUAGUUAUGCUCUGAGACUUACCAGAGGAGUCAGUGAUUAAAAGGACACAACUGAGAGCUUUUCACCUCUGGUCUCUUGUAGCCAACCAGAUGCCUGUGGGAAGCCAGCAAGGAGGACCGGAAUGCAACAGCUGGAACAGUGGAGACAGAACA